GGGAGGGUAGCGAAGAGGCUAAACGCGGCGGACUGUAAAUCCGCUCCUUCGGGUUCGGGGGUUCGAAUCCCUCCCCUUCCA
rnacentral:tRNA from 1 species